CCCUUUUGGAGACCUCCACUGAGUUGGAACCACAGGACCAACCAGUGGAGGAGGAGCUCUCUCCUGGGCAGGACACCUCUUCUCCAGAGGAUUCGCUGACCGUCCUGUUGGGCUCCAGGACCAGCAGCCUCUGUGAGGUGGACUCCCUUGCUGACCUCCUGGAGGAGGAAUCUGAGGAUAGCUGGGACCAGGAUGCAGAGGCCAGCUCCUCUUCCAGUCCAUGGGAUUCUCCAGAGGAAGAAGACACUCUGGAGGAUCUCAGCAGCCUGGAAGAGGACAUCCUGGACUCCCUGGACCGCCUUCUUAAAUAAGAAGAGGUAUGAGCCCCACAGAUAGGAAGGUGUCCAAUAUGCUACCUGGGAAGAGCGGAGGGCAAGUACAAGUAGCUCUACAAAGAGCAACAUGGUACUAAUAAUAGUCUUUGAUUUCUCCCCCAGAUGCUUCCUCAGAUUCCCCUCCAGAGGUCAGCUUGGAGGAGGAGGA